rnacentral:lncRNA from 1 species
AGGGCUGCAGCUGUGGCAUAUGGAAAUUCCCAGGCUAGGGGUCAAACUGGAGCUACAGGUGCUGGCCUACACCACAGCCACAGCAACAUGGGAUCCGAGCUCCAUCUGUGACUUAUACCAUAGCCCAUGGCAAUGCCAGAUCCUUAACCCACUGAGCGAGGCUAGGGAUUGAACCCACAUUCUCAUGGAUCCUCGUCAGAUUCUUAAACUGCUUAGCCACAAUGGUAACUCCCACAUUGUUUUUUAAAAAAAUCCAAUAACCCCUAUUUCAAUUUUUUUAUUAAAUUUUAUUCAUUUACUAUAUUACCAAUUUUGUUAUUUUUAGUAAUUUUUAUUUCAAUUGCAGUAGAAUGAUUAUGUAUGUUUAACAUUUAGAUACUAUAAACAUAUUUUAUAUAACGUUUUGACCUAGAAUUUAAAUUUUGUAAUGCCUCUGUGUAUCCCUAGCUGAUUUGGUCAGCCUGCCAUCUGGUUCUACUCCCAUGCUAUAGAUGUUAGCCUCUUCACGGUUUCAUCAGGCACAAUAUGUAUUUGCUCUCUAUGACGGCUAUAGCAAAAAAUCACUUAAUCAUAAUUAUUAACUUUUCCAGACUUUUUUUUUUUUUUUUUUUUUUUUUUUUUAAAUUUCUAACCAUCUCCUUUGCAAACACAGCUUAAUGGACUUUCAAUGGGAAACAGAGGAAAUAAACAAAGUAUAUAUCUCCUCCUCUUGUCUCUCAACAUUCCCUUGAACCUUAAGAAAGUAACCUACUGAAUCGGCCCCUCGGCUUUCUAAACUGGGUGGCCUAGCCCGAAGAACAAAAAUUCUGUAUGUUGACACUAAACAAACACAAUUGUUUAAAGAAUUUAGGUUGAGAAUGAGCGAUCCCUUUCAAAACAAGUAAGAACCAAACAACAACAUUUGAGGAGUCAAAGAAAAAUAAGACUACACAAAUCACACGCUCUCUUCACUCCUCUUAAACAUUAAGUCUAUCUUGUAAAACAGCAUGCAGUUUCUGUUUAAUUGUGAGAAUUUAAACACUUCACAAUUCUAUGAUGUACCGAUCUGUGGCUAAAUUUUAUUCUGCCCAAGAAGCCAUCUUCUUUCUUUACUCGUAUUUCUUUUUUUCUGCCCUCCUGUCCCUGGCUGACUAGCUUCUGAGAUUUUGUACUAGGUCUUUCUACACCCCUUAAAAUUUUUUUUUAUGAUUAGAAUGCUUCAAGCGCUGAGUUAAAUUCAUUAUUUUGUUCUUUUCAGGAGUUUCUAGUCCAUACUCUAAGACACAACACAAGCAGAAUCAAAGACACAAAAAAGAAUAACAUUUCACAAUGAACUUGAAGACUAUUAUCACUACUCACUUUCCAAUUUUAAAAAAUACAUGCAUUCCUUAUUUUUGAUCAGUUAAUAUAUGUGUGACUUUCUUCUGAACACUUUAAGGAAAAAAAUAAUAAUACAGGUUCUGUGACAUUAAGUAAUAUGAAAUUUUUUUUUUUUUUUAAUGGCCACACCCAUGGGAUAGGGAGAUUUCCAGGCCAGGGACUGAAUCUGAGCUGCAGCUGUGACCAACCCCAUGGCUGCAGAAACACUGGAUCUUUUAACCCACUGCACCCAGGCAGGACUGAACCUGUGCCUCUGCAGCAACCCCAGACGCUGCAGUCAGAUUCUUAACCCACUGUACCAUGGCAGGAACUCCAGCAAUGUGAAAUU